AUUUUCUGCUUGCUCAAUCUCAGUACAUCUGCAUCUUUAUUGUGUGCUGUUUUGUUAAUUGUAAUCUUUUGAACAACUCUGAAAGUAGCACUCCUCGAACAUGCAGUCAGUAAACUCUAUUUUGACUGUCCCGAUUCUGCCUUCAUUUCACUCGUCUAUGAGCUGCUCUCCGUCCUCCCUCUUUGUCUCCUGAGCUUGAGAACAGAAAGACUGAACAUUCACACAGGCCUGAAGAGCAGUUUAGAGGGGAGGGCAGCUUUAAAAAGCUCUUUUCAGUUUGGACAACAUCCUCUGCUUUAUUUUGCUCAUUUUGUGUGCACUCCACCUCUCCUGUUCCCUCCAUCCCUUUUCAUCCUUUGAUUUCAUUCUGCCUUUCUUCUUUCCAUCCACAGGCUCUUUAUCCUUUCUUUUUUCCACCAGGUGACGCACUGCAAACACAAUACAGCUGAAGAGGAAGAAAGACGGAUGACUUUUGACUGCCGCCUCCUCUCUCUUCCUCCCUCUGUUAAAGGGCAGGCAUCAGUGUGUUCCGCAGUGAGCAAGCUGAAACUCCCUGGGUGUCAGAGUCAGCUGCUGUCUUGUUUCUCCAUGCCACCAUCCAUCUACAGUAUCUGCUGAUCCAUCCAUCACAGCUCCCAGUCAUCCUCAGGGUAUGUCAAAAAGACCAAUCGCAAAAAAGGUCAGGGUACUGCAAACACACAGUUUUACACACAUACUGUGCUUCCUGUGAUAUAAGUCAUUAUAAAAUAUGAAUAUGCAGUAGUAGCAUGUUAUGUGAUAGUAUAGG
rnacentral:lncRNA from 12 species